GAAUUUAAAACUCUUCCAGAGUAUCAAUUGGAGGGCAAGUCUGGUGCCAGCAGCCGCGGUAAUUCCAGCUCCAAUAGCGUAUAUUAAAAUUGUUGCAGUUAAAAAGCUCGUAGUUGAAUUUCUGCUGCAUUGCUUUUGCUCCUUUACGAGUCUUUGCAUUGUGGCUUAUUUCGGACUUUGUUUUACAAUGUCCGGAUGUUUACUUUGAGAAAAUUAGAGUGCUCAAAGCAGGCUUUCGCCUUGAAUAGUUUAGCAUGGAAUAAUAAAGUAGGACUUUGGUUCUAUUUUGUUGGUUUUAGGUACCAAAGUAAUGGUUAAUAGGAACAGUUGGGGGCAUUCGUAUUUAACUGUCAGAGGUGAAAUUCUUAGAUUUGUUAAAGACGAACUACUGCGAAAGCAUUUGCCAAGGAUGUUUUCAUUAAUCAAGAACGAAAGUUAGGGGAUCGAAGACGAUCAGAUACCGU
rnacentral:rRNA from 1 species